AUACGUAGGUGACAAGCGUUAUCCGGAUUUACUGGGCGUAAAGGGCGUGUAGGCGGUCUUGCAAGUCAGAAGUGAAAUUCCUGAGCUCAACUCGGGCGCUGCUUCUGAAACUGCAGGACUUGAGUGCUGGAGGGGAUAGCGGAAUUCCUAGUGGAGCGGUAAAAUGCGCAGAGAUUAGGAAGAACACCGGUGGCGAAGGCGACUAUCUGGACAAUAACUGACUCUGAGGCACGAUGUCGUGAGGAGAAAACAUGAUUAAAUCCCCUGGUAGUCCACGCCGUAAACGAUGAAUACUAGGUGUAGGGGGUAUCGACUCCCUCUGUGCCGCAGUUAACACAAUAAGUAUUCCGCCUGGGGAGUACGGCCGCAAGGUUGAAACUCAAAUGAAUUGACGGGG
rnacentral:rRNA from 1 species